rnacentral:lncRNA from 10 species
GUCCAAUAAACGCCAAGGAAUAUAAAUACAAAGAGACUUAUAUUGAGCCAUAUUAUAAUCAAACAGUUGAAAGGCAAAUACUAAGAGAGAAUAUUGAAAACAAGAGAAAAGUGACUCAUCACAUACAAGGUGUCCUCAAUAAGAUUAUCAGCUGAUUAUAGCUGAUUACUCAUAAGAAACAUUGGAGGUCAAAAGGCAGUGAGCAUGAUAUAUUUAAAGCGCUGAAACAAAAUUAUCAACCAAAAAUCCUAUUUCAGCAAAACUAUCCUUCAAAAAUAAGUGAGAAAUUAAGACAUUUUCAGAUACAUAAUAGCUGAGAGAGUUCAUUACCACUAGACCCGCCUUAUAAGAAAUGCUAAGGGGACUCUUUCAGGUUGAAAUUAAAGGAUGCUAGACAGUAACUCAAAGAUGUUUGAAGAAAUAAAAAUCCUCAAUAAAGGUAUUUACAUAGGUAAAUAUAAAAGCCAGAAUUAUUUUAACUUUGGGGUUUUUUUGGGGUGUUUUUUGUUUGUUUUGAGACAGACUGGAGUGCAUUAGUGCAAUCACAGCUCACUGCAGCCUCGACCUCUGGGCUCAACUGAUCCUCCCAUUUCAGCCUCCCAAAUAGCUGGAAUCCCAUUACAGGCACAUGCCACCACGCUUGGCAAAAUCUUGUAUUUUUUGUAGAGGUGGGGUCUCACUGUGUUGCCCAGGCUGGUCCCAAACUCCUGGAGGCAAGCAAUUCUCCCACCUCAGACUUUCAAAGUACUGGCAUUACAGGUCUAAGCCACCAUGCCUGCCAAGUCACUCUUUCUUUUUCCCUUUUUUGUAAAGCUGGGAUCUUGUUAUGUUGCCCAGGCUGGUCUCAAACUCCUGGCCUCGAGCAAUCCUCCCACCUCAACCUUCCAAAGCACUGAGAUUGCAUGUGUGAACCACCACACCCAGCCAAAAAAACAUAAUUCUAUAUUUUUGAGCAAACAAUGUGUAAAGAUGGAAUUUUUGACACCAAUAACCUAAAGCAGGGACAAAGCUGUAUAGGAGUAGAGUUUUGUAUGCUGUUAAGUUGGUAUCAAUUCAAAUUAGAUUUUUAUAACUCUAGGAUUUUAUUUGUAAUCCCCAGGGUAACAACGAAGAAUAAUACAUAGAAUAUAUGCAAAAGGAAAUGAAAAGAGAAUCAAAAUGUGUCACUACAAAAACAAUUUUUAAAACCCAGCCAAGCAAGGUGACUCAUGUCUAUAAUCCCAGCACUUUGGGAGGCUGAGGCAGGA